rnacentral:rRNA from 1 species
GCGUGGGUGAUGAAGCUCUGAGGAGUGUAAAACCCUGUUAGGAGGGAAGAAACUUCCGAUUUAUCGGAACUGACGGUACCUCCAGAGAAAGCUCCGGCUAACUCCGUGCCAGCAGCCGCGGUAACACGGGGGGAGCAAGCGUUGUCCGGAUUUACUGGGCGUAAAGAGCGUGUAGGCGGGAUAAUCAGUCAACUGUGAAAUCUUUCGGCUUAACCGGAAACCUGCAGCUGAUACUGUUAUCCUUGAGUUCGGAAGAGGGAAGUGGAAUUCCUGGUGUAGCGGUGAAAUGCGU